rnacentral:rRNA from 1 species
GACGAACGCUGGCGGCGCGCUUAACACAUGCAAGUCGAGCGAGAACCAGCCCUUCGGGGCUGGGGACAGCGGCGAACGGGUGAGUAACACGUGGGUAAUCUGCCCUCGGCACCGGGAUAGCCCGGGGAAACCCGGAUUAAUACCGGAUGGCCUUUCGAGCUCUCGGGCUUGAAAGGAAAGGUAGCUUUGGCCUCCGGCCGAGGAUGAGCCCGCGGCCGAUUAGCUUGUUGGUGGGGUAAUGGCCCACCAAGGCGACGAUCGGUAGCUGGUCUGAGAGGACGAUCAGCCACACUGGGACUGAGACACGGCCCAGACUCCUACGGGAGGCAGCAGUGGGGGAAUCUUGCGCAAUGGGGCGAAAGCCUGACGCAGCGACGCCGUGUGCGGGAAGAAGGCCUUC